rnacentral:tRNA from 1 species
ACAUACUAAGUGAUCACUUUCAAAUUCAGAGAAACCCUGGAAUUACAAAUGGGCAAUCCUGAGCCAAAUCCUGUUUUCAAAAAAAAAAAAUAAUUCAAUCAAAAGAAUCAAAAAAGGAUAGGUGCAGAGACUCAAUGGAAGCUGUUCUAAAAAAUGGAGUUGACUGCUGCAUUAAGUUAGUCAAGGAAUCCUUGCAUCAAAACUUUCAAAAAGAUGAAGGAUAACCUUUCUUUCUACUUUCUAUAAACUAUAAAAAGAAAAAGACUUUUUGAAUCAAAUCAAUUGGAAGUUGAAGAAAGAAUCAAAUAUGAUUUGAUCAAAUCAUUUACUCCAAAGUCUGAUAUAUCUUUUUCCAAAUGGAUUAGUCAGAUGAGAAUAAAGAUAGAGUCCCAUUCUAUAUGUCAGUA